rnacentral:lncRNA from 1 species
CCGGUGGUCACGGAACAGUGCACGUUGCCCUGUAAUCAGUUCUCCAAGUACCACGCCAAAUGCAAAUACAUCAGUCUUGUGAGUCACCUGGAGCUCCUGCACAGAUCUUCACAAUAACAUGGAUGGUAAACUGUAUAUACUUACUGCUCUAGUAUCAUUUGUUAGUAGUAUAAACUAUAAAGUAAUAAACCAGCAAAGACAUUAAAACUUACUCUGGGGGGAGAUAGCCCGGUGUUCCAACCAGUCUAGUGGCAAUAAUAUCUUCUUCAUUGGUUCUUCCAACAAGCUUUGCCAAACCAAAAUCUGCUACCUAAUGAUAUGCAAUUUAAAAUAACAACUAAAGAACUAAACAUGUAUUGUAAGAAAGUUGCAUAAGAGAUGGUUGGAGUAGAACAAAUUGUCUAGAUAAGUUAUAGAAUCUAGGAUAACUUAGUCAGGCAGACAAUAGCGAUGGACUAGAUGAUGUUAAUGAAGUCAUAAAUUUGGUACCUUUGCUCUGAGACCCUCAUCAAGUAGAAUGUUACUUGUCUUUAUAUCACGGUGCACAUAUCGGGCUUUUGUGUGGUCAUGAAUGUAUUCAAUACCUUUUGCAGUAUCCAGUGCAAUUUGUGUUCUUGCAGUCCAGGAGAGAGGCUGAUGACCUGAUUAUGACAUAUUAGUUUUCUUUAACAAUGCAUUGUAGGUACUUAAGAAUCUCAGCAUUUACUUAAGCUAAGCAAUGCGCGCAAUUUGAGUACCUUUAAGCAAUGGAUCAUGAAGAUGUUCGCUCAGUGAUCCAUUCUGAACAUACUCAUAGACCAGGUAGAGGUGGUCAUCUCCACUGGCAUACCCCAAAAGCUCCACCUAAAACAAAGAAUUUACAAAUGAAUGUACGAAAGUCUAGCAUAUAAGAGGUCAUUUAUUUAGAUUGGUUGCUCACCACAUUUAUGUGAUGGAUCUUGCAUAAGACCUUUAGCUCUGCAAAGAACUCUUUGCACUUAUUAGAUCUCAUCUUCUUUAUGGCGACCUCCUGAAAUUUGAAGCAGCUUUUAUCUUCUGAAACUUAGUACAAGAAGAUACAUAUAGCUUGGUUUUGCGGCUUUGUUUGUUAGAAAUAUAUAGAAGUUGUGGAUUCUGACAUACCUUUUUCCCUAGUACUCCGAAGUAUACUUUACCAUAUCCACCCUCUCCAAUGAUCUUACUUUCAUCGAAAUAACCAGUAGCCUCUUCAAUCUCCUCAAGAGGAAAUACUACUGGUCCGUCUGAUUCAAAUACUGUUGCAUCUGUAAAUCAACAUUGUAGUUUUGCUGCCGUUAGCAAGUUUUCCAUGUUUAUAUUUCCAGGCAUCUCUGAUCCAACAUGCAUAAAGUAGUACUUAUCAGUGAGUUGGUUAAAAAUUUAUCUGACCUUCCAUGUAUUGCUGAUGAAGUAACUGAUUAUGCAACGAAAAAGAUUUAUUGGCAGACAAAGUUUUGGAAACAACUCUUGGAACUUCAAUAUUUUCUUUGGCUGCAGCUUUUCUCCUAAUAAGGAGGAGGGCAAAUGUGCUUAGUGAAAGCAAUGUCACACCUGAUAGUAUACCAACCAAUACUUCCCACUUGUGUCUGUAUCCUGGUGAUAGAAACAAGGUAUGACCAUCAAGCUCCUACAGAAAAUUAUCUGUGAAUUUCUGGAUUCCUGUAUCUGCUGCUUUUCUGUUGUCAGAAUUCAGCUCUGACUAUUGAUAUAUAGGAUUUAACUACAAAGUUGUUCAGUCCAUAUAACUCAAUACUUUCUAGGAUUAUGAUCUCAAACAAUACGUUUGCCAUCUUAAAGCAAAUGUAAAAACUAAAAGCAUAUAAAGUUUCAGUGGUGGAAGAUUGAAAGGAUACAAAAACAUUACUGAAUAGUAGUUAUCUCAUUUCUUUGAUGAUUCAAUCAGUAGUUUUUAUGAAAAUUGCUGACCAACAAAUUAAUGAUACACCAGCAUGCAACAAAUAACAUCUCUAUAUCGUGCUGAAACACAAAGAAAAAGAGAAUGGAUCUGAAACAGAGCUCACCUGGCUUUUUAAGUCCAUUCUUUUCCGAGGGCACAAACAACACCCAACCGAGAACUAUGAAUGACGGGUUCUCAACCAGUUUCUUGUUCAUUGUUUCAAUGUUUUCUAUCUUGGCAGAGAGCAGACUGCCGAUAUCUGUCAGUGUAUCUUUCUCUUGAACUGUGUAUGUUACCACAAUCUGAGAAUCACCAUCUACACACCCACAAGGAAGAUGAAUGGGAAAAUCAGAUCCUAUAGUAAAGUUUUUCUUUUGUUCUUCUAUGACAGAUAAAGCUUGCCCACUGUAGAUAUUAUUCGAUACAUCAGAAAAUGUGUCUGACAAUUUCACUUUGUAGAUUGUAUCAUAGAAAUAUCCAGUAGUGCCGGAUAUGUUUUUGCAAGAACAAGGUACACUUAUGAGAAGAUCUUCUCUAUUGCUAUACUUUAUAGGUUUGACUUGAGAUAGAUCGACAGAGUACAAAGAGGCGAUUUCUUCUUUCUGAAAACCGCUGUUGAUGUGGUAUAGUGAGGCAUUACAUGUAGCGAUUGUUGCAGAGCACUGGAAAGGGACUAUGACAGA